CAGUAGCCGCGGUAAAACGUAGGGUGUAAGCGUUAAUCGGAAUUACUGGGCGUAAAGCGUGCGCAGGCGGUUCGUUAAGACAGAUGUGAAAUCCCCGGGCUUAACCUGGGAACUGCAUUUGUGACUGGCGGGCUAGAGUAUGGCAGAGGGGGGUAGAAUUCCACGUGUAGCAGUGGAAUGCGUAGAGAUGUGGAGGAAUACCGAUGGCGAAGGCAGCCCCCUGGGCCAAUACUGACGCUCAUGCACGAAAGCGUGGGGAGCAAACAGGAUUAGAUACCCCUGUAGUCCCUGUCUCUUAUAC
rnacentral:rRNA from 1 species